UGGGAAUAUUGCACAAUGGGCGAAAGCCUGAUGCAGCAACGCCGCGUGCGGGAUGACGGCCUUCGGGUUGUAAACCGCUUUCAGCAGGGACGAAGGUUUUCUGACGGUACCUGCAGAAGAAGCACCGGCUAACUACGUGCCAGCAGCCGCGGUGAUACGUAGGGUGCGAGCGUUGUCCGGAAUUAUUGGGCGUAAAGAGCUUGUAGGCGGUCCGUUGCGUCGGAAGUGAAAACUCAGGGCUUAACCCUGAGCCUGCUUUCGAUACGGGCGGACUUGAGGGAUGUAGGGGAGAACGGAAUUCCUGGUGGAGCGGUGGAAUGCGCAGAUAUCAGGAGGAACACCAGUGGCGAAGGCGGUUCUCUGGACAUUUCCUGACGCUGAGAAGCGAAAGCGUGGGGAGCAAACAGGCUUAGAUACCCUGGUAGUCCACGCCGUAAACGGUGGCACUAGGUGUGGGACCCAUUCCACGGGUUCCGUGCCGUAGCUAACGCAUUAAGUGCCCCGCCUGGGGAGUACGGCCGCAA
rnacentral:rRNA from 1 species